rnacentral:rRNA from 1 species
UACGUAGGGUGCAAGCGUUGUCCGGAAUUAUUGGGCGUAAAGAGCUCGUAGGCGGUCCAUCGCGUCGGGAGUGAAAAGCUGGGGCUUAACCCCAGUCCUGCUUUCGAUACGGGUGGACUAGAGGUAGGCAGGGGAGAACGGAAUUCCUGGUGUAGCGGUGAAAUGCGCAGAUAUCAGGAGGAACACCGGUGGCGAAGGCGGUUCUCUGGGCAUUACCUGACGCUGAGGAGCGAAAGUGUGGGGAGCGAACAGG